UGCAGAGGUCUCAAGCGUUGUUCGGAUUCAUUGGGCGUAAAGGGUGCGUAGGCGGCGCGGUAAGUCGGGUGUGAAAUCUCGGAGCUUAACUCCGAAACUGCAUUCGAUACUGCCGUGCUUGAGGACUGGAGAGGAGACUGGAAUUUACGGUGUAGCGGUGAAAUGCGUAGAUAUGUGGAGGAACACCGAUGGCGAAGGCAGCCCCCUGGGUCAAGACUGACGCUCAUGCACGAAAGCGUGGGGAGCAAACAGG
rnacentral:rRNA from 1 species